GGGAGGCGUGGGCCGGCGGACGGGUCGCCCGGGUGACGGCCGGGGACGCCGGGGUGAGUGGCCGGUGAGCGGCUGGGACGCCGAUCCCUUCUUC
rnacentral:tRNA from 1 species